rnacentral:rRNA from 1 species
UACGUAGGGUGCAAGCGUUGUCCGGAUUUAUUGGGCGUAAAGAGCGUGUAGGCGGUUCGGUAAGUCUGUCGUGAAAUCCUGAGGCUCAACCUCGGACGUGCGAUGGAUACUGCCGGGCUAGAGGAUGGUAGAGGCGAGUGGAAUUCCCGGUGUAGCGGUGAAAUGCGCAGAUAUCUGGAGGAAUACCGGUGGCGAAGGCGGCAUCCUGGACCGGCAUUGACGCUGAGGAGCGAAAGCCAGGGGAGCAAACGGG